rnacentral:rRNA from 1 species
UGGGGAAUUUUGGACAAUGGGCGCAAGCCUGAUCCAGCCAUGCCGCGUGCGGGAAGAAGGCCUUCGGGUUGUAAACUGCUUUUGUCAGGGAAGAAAUCUUCUGAGUUAAUACCUCGGGGAGGAUGACGGUACCUGAAGAAUAAGCACCGGCUAACUACGUGCCAGCAGCCGCGGUAAUACGUAGGGUGCAAGCGUUAAUCGGAAUUACUGGGCGUAAAGCGUGCGCAGGCGGUUUUGUAAGACAGAGGUGAAAUCCCCGGGCUCAACCUGGGAACUGCCUUUGUGACUGCAAGGCUUGAGUGCGGCAGAGGGGGAUGGAAUUCCGCGUGUAGCAGUGAAAUGCGUAGAUAUGCGGAGGAACACCGAUGGCGAAGGCAAUCCCCUGGGCCUGCACUGACGCUCAUGCACGAAAGCGUGGGGAGCAAACAGGAUUAGAUACCCUGGUAGUCCACGCCCUAAACGAUGUCAACUGGUUGUUGGGAAGGUUCCUUCUCAGUAACGUAGCUAACGCGUGAAGUUGACCGCCUGGAAGUACGGCCGCAA